ACCAGUCAGCCCGCUGCACGCUCGCUAAUGAGCAUAUCGUGCGAGCGUUAUCGUGCGAUGGAAACAGCUCGAUGAAUAAUAUCCACAAACGAGAAGUUACGAGAUCGUGCGAGAAUACUGGAAGGGAUGACGUAGACUCUAUUUUCUCGCGCAUGCUCAGUUUUUGAGCAGCCAUGUUUGGGUGCUGAGAUGUACACAGGCCCUCAUAGAAGUUGUGACCCCGAGCCCUCCUCUUCCAAUUGACCCCCCCCCCCCUGAUCUUGACCUCAAGGAUGCAUCCUAGAAACAAGGUGCGGAGCUGUACACAGUCCUUCCUACAACUUGUAGAAGAUCCCGCACAGGCUUCGCAACCAGUCAUGUGACCCCUAGCCCUCUUCCAACUGAUCACCCCCUUGAUCUUGACCUCAAGAUGCCACCUGGAAACAAAGUGCGGAGCUGUACACAGUCCUUCCUACAACUUGUAGAAGAUCUCCCAUAGGCUUCACAACCAGUCAUGUGACCCCUAGCCCUCUUCCAACUGAUUGCCCCCUUGAUCUUGACCUCAAGAUGCAACCUGGAAACAAAAUUAAGCAUUGUGAUUUUAUCACCAUGAGGGAUGAAGUAGAAAAUUCAGCCUGUACAUCACAUCAAUCGUUCUUGCUGCUGGGGUGAAGGAUAAGUUGGCUCCUUGGCCCCAUUUAUGUACUAUGAAAUCUAAUGCCCUUGUAGCUAUCAUUACGGAACGUAAUACCGAUAUCUAAAUGACAGACUGUAUUUGUAGUGGUUGCAGAAAAAAAUAUGUUAGAAAAUUGAAAAACCCAAAAGACACGUAAAAAAGAAAUAUUUAUUUUAUUUCUAUUCCAUUAUGACUGUUGUGUUGAUAAAUUAUUAAGAGAUUGUGAAUGUGAAUUAGAAUAAUUCAAUGCUGCAUUUUCUGAAGAAUGCACUUCAAUUCCACCUACUAUACCUUUAUGCAUGAAACAUAGAUUUGAAUUGGCACAUUUUGAGCAAUCUAGAAGUUAUCGUUCCUGUUCUGUUUGUGAAGCAUUACUGACUUCUGAUGACAAAACAUAUUUCUGUAAAGAUAUUCCUGAAAGUGAAUUGAAAAGAUUGGGUGAUAUAAAUGAAGACUUUUCAGGAACACAAGGUCACCAUAUAUGUAGACCAUGCUACAUGUAUUGUAUAAAGAAAAGUAGUGCUAAUAAAAUGUCACUUAGAAGUAUGGAAAAUUCGCAUCAGAGCUGUGUGCUUGCAUCAGAUUCGGACGAAGACUUUUUACUCAAAAUUCUAAAUGUUUAUUUGUAUAUAUGUAGACUGUGUCUUGAGGAUGGUUAUUUUUAUUCAUAACUGUUUAUGAAUAUUUUUCUGAUCUUGUCUCAAAAAGAUGUUGUGAUGCGCUACAGAAUGACCGUGUAAAUGAAAGUCCAUUAUUUGUAAAGGAUAAGAUUAUAUACCAGUUCGGUGAGCUUUUGAUUGUACAUAGAGAUGCUGGUAGGAGGGGAAUAUCUUUUUACAGUGCAGAGAUGUAUCAUGAUUAUGUUAUACGUUCAUGGCAUAUUUCAGUUUCUAAAUUGAGAUCAUUACAAAUUGACAAGAAUAGUGCCCAAGAUGUGCCCAAUAGACCAUCCUUUUCCUCACAGUUUAGUUCACCUUCAGAGGUGAACAUGCAGUUCCGAAAUGUUGUCAAUAACGGAAAUGAAUUUCUCUGUAAACAGGCGAAACACUUUAGUUGGAAUAUUUAACUAAUCCUUUAUCUGUCACUGAUUUUAACUUUGACAAUGUAUGUUGCUUCUACCGGUAGUGAUCAUGUUCACCUUGCAGCCUGUGUUCUUUCAGCAUUUCUUUCUUUUGCUAAAUAUAGAAAACCACUUACCAGUAUGUAUUCAUCACAUGUAUGAAUGCAAACAUGUGUUAUGCACAAUACUCUUUAUCUGAUUUAAUGCUCCAUUUUGUUUGUAUUACAUAUUAUAUUCUUUUUUGUUAUAAUAGUUUAUGUUGCACACUUACCGUAUUCCUUGUACAGUCUUCUAAUAUAUAUAUUAUGGCAGAAUGUAGCAUGUACACAUGAGCAACUUAAGUUAUUUGUGUUAUAACAUUAUUAAUUUAACUUAGGAUUUUUGUAUUUUCCGUGCUUUAGUGCCUUAAACUAGCCAGUACUGUGUGUGUGUCCCAGCUGGACUAGCUUAUGAAUAAUAAUAAUAUCUGCCAAAACAUGUAUUUUUUUAACCUUGCCAAGUUGUCUCUUGUAUUCAAAGAGAAAUAAAAAAAUAAAAACAAUUGUUCAAAAGAAA